rnacentral:rRNA from 1 species
GAGGAAUAUUGGUCAAUGGGCGAGAGCCUGAACCAGCCAUGUCGCGUGAAGGAAGAAUGUCCUAUGGAUUGUAAACUUCUUUUAUACAGGAAUAAAGUGUACUACGUGUAGUAUUUUGUAUGUACUGUAUGAAUAAGGAUCGGCUAACUCCGUGCCAGCAGCCGCGGUAAUACGGAGGAUCCGAGCGUUAUCCGGAUUUAUUGGGUUUAAAGGGUGCGUAGGCGGGCUGAUAAGUCAGUGGUGAAAGUUUGCAGCUUAACUGUAAAAUUGCCAUUGAAACUGUUAGUCUUGAGUACAGUAGAGGUAGGCGGAAUGUGUAGUGUAGCGGUGAAAUGCAUAGAUAUUACACAGAACACCAAUUGCGUAGGCAGCUUACUGGAGUGUCACUGACGCUGAGGCACGAUAGCGUGGGGAUCAAAC